rnacentral:rRNA from 1 species
UACGGAGGGGGCAAGCGAUGUUCGGAUUUACUGGGCGUAAAGGGCGCGUAGGCGGCUGUGUAAGUUACUUGUGAAAUCUCCGGGCUUAACUCGGAGCGGCCAAGUGAUACUGCAGAGCUAGAGUGCAGAAGGGGCAACUGGAAUUCUUGGUGUAGCGGUGAAAUGCGUAGAUAUCAAGAGGAACACCUGAGGCGAAGGCGGGUUGCUGGGCUGACACUGACGCUGAAGCGCGAAAGCUAGGGGAGCAAACAGG